CAUGAACUUACCGCUUUCCAAAUCAGAGCUUUUCCAGCCAAUCACCAGUGCUGGAGUGCAAGUCAUGGCCUUUGAAUGAUUCUCACACUCCUGCAAACAGCUGCUCCUGAAGUUACAUCUAAGUGAGGACAGAUCAAGAGAGUUAGAUGUGCUUCCUAAACAGUGCUGCAGUAGAAUGAGCAAGACUUUGCUGUGGUGCAAUUCCAAGCUAUAUAGAGAGAAAUGAAGAAAAGCAGGAGAUAAGAUUCCAUCUGUGCCUGUUUAAAACCAAAUACUUUGACCUGACUUACCCUGUAUCAC